rnacentral:tRNA from 1 species
UCCUCGAUAGCUCAGUGGUAGAGCGUUCGGCUGUUAACCGAAAUGUCGUUGGUUCAAGCCCAACUCGGGGAG